AACGAACGCUGGCGGCAGGCCUAACACAUGCAAGUCGAACGAGAUCUUCGGGUCUAGCGGCGGCCGGGUGAGUACCGCGUGGGAAUAUGCCCCUUGGUACGGAAUAGCCUCGGGAAACUGGGAGUAAUACCGUAUGUGCUCUUUCGGGGUAAGAUUUAUCGCCAAGAGAUUAGCCCGCGUGGGAUUAGGUAGUUGGUGGGGUAAUGGCCUACCAAGCCGACGAUCCUUAGCUGGUUUGAGAGGAUGAUCAGCCACACUGGGACUGAGACACGGCCCAGACUCCUACGGGAGGCAGCAGUGGGGAAUCUUAGACAAUGGGGGCAACCCUGAUGUAGCCAUGCCGCGUGAAUGAUGAAGGCCUUAGGGUUGUAAAGCUCUGUCAGCUGGGAAGAUAAUGACGGUACCAGCAGAAGAAGCCCCGGCUAACUCCGUG
rnacentral:rRNA from 1 species